AAGUCGUAACAAGGUUUCCGUAGGUGAACCUGCGGAAGGAUCAUUAACGAGAUAGGGUCUCUUACGAGCCCGACCUCCAACCCUUUGUCUACCAAACCUCUGUUGCCUCGGCGGGCCGCCGGUACCCUCCACGGGGUGCCGCCGUCGGUCUUCGCGCUCUCGAGUGCCCGCCGCAGGACCUUCAAACUCUUUUUUAAACAAGAAUCAUCUGAGUGGAAUUUAAUGCUUCAAAAAAACUUUUAACAACGGAUCUCUUGGUUCUG
rnacentral:misc_RNA from 1 species